rnacentral:rRNA from 1 species
CCUACGGGGGGCAGCAGUGGGGAAUAUUGCGCAAUGGGCGAAAGCCUGACGCAGCGACGCCGCGUGAGGGAUGAAGGUCUUCGGAUCGUAAACCUCUGUCAGCAGGGAAGAACGGUCACUGUGCUAAUCAGCAGUGAAUUGACGGUACCUGCAAAGGAAGCACCGCCUAACUCCGGACCAGCAGCCGCGGUAAUACGGAGGGUGCGAGCGUUAAUCGGAAUUACUGGGCGUAAAGCGCUCGUAGGCGGUAUGUUAAGUCAAGGGUGAAAUCCCCGCGCUCAACGUGGGAACUGCCUUUGAGACUGGCAAGCUGGAGUGUGUGAGAGGAUAGUGGAAUUCCAGGUGUAGGAGUGAAAUCCGUAGAGAUCUGGAGGAACAUCAGUGGCGAAGGCGACUAUCUGGCACAUAACUGACGCUGAGGAGCGAAAGCGUGGGUAGCAAACAGGAUUAGAUACCCGGGUAGUC